AGUGCAAGUUAAUAGUUUUGUUUCAGCAUAGUUCUGAUUUUUGAAGCUAGGUGGUGGGAAUAUUUAUACAUUGCAUAGCUGCCAAUAGAAGUGCUGUUAAACAAUAUAUCGUGUGGAAAGCAGGACAUAGCAGUUCUUUGUAGUCUCUGUGCAGUCUCACCUUUCUGUUCUCCGCAUGUGUAGAUUAAUAUUUGGAACUUCUGGAGCAAGCUGGUAACAUUCUGGCAUGAAAGACUUAUCUGCACAGCCGUAGCACACACCUAAGAACUUCACCUUCUUGAUCAAUUCCUUUGUGACUGCUGCAGUAGCGAUUACAGGAACGGUAGAAAGGAUUACAUCUGCAUGAACACUUUGAAAGACUGUAAACAAACUUGCAUCUGGCAAUAGAAUUGUGUAAUGACAUCAUGAUAAGAUCAUUCACAAAAGCUCCUUUCUAUGAAGACAAGCUAAGGGUGCUGCUGAUGUUUUCAGCAAUAUCAAUUACAUCAGAAAAGGUAUCAACGUUCACAGAAUUUACCUUGGGCAUCUGGGAGGAUAUUUUUGUUUGGCUGUUAGGGGGGAAAGUUCACUUCCAUCCUGUUAAGUACAUUAGUCCAAUUUAACUAUAAAAUUAAGUCUCUGGCAAGUUUGUUGCCCAGAUAAUUUAUGCAUGUUCUUAACACUUAGAAGACACACCACCAAGCAGCAGUUUUUUGUAGUCAAGGUAUUGAAAUAUGUUCUACAACAAUUAGCACUGUGCAAAGGAUGUGUCAGACACCUCUUAGUGCAGUGUGGUGAAUAUUACAAAGAUGAGGCUAGAGCCCAAACUGUAAAUGUGAAGUUCCCUUUAUCUUAAAAACCAUUCAAAAUAAUGCAGUUUUGAGCCUUCCAAUUCAUAAAAUACUCUAAGUAUUUAUCCAAAUGUAACUAUGACCAAAGAAUGGUAGCCAGUUCACCUGGAAGCACACACUUUUUUCUCAGCCUGAAAGAUCAAGCACAAGAGGGAAUGAACAAGGCCAUUCAUUCAAACAAACAAACAAACAAACAAACAAACA